GACGAACGCUGGCGGCGUGCUUAACACAUGCAAGUCGAACGAAGUGGCGAACGGGUGAGUAACGCGUAAUAAACCUGCCCUUCAGAGGGGGACAACAGUGGGAAACGACUGCUAUUACCCCAUACUGAAGGAGGGGAUGGAGGCUGAUUAGCUAGUUGGAGGGGUAACGGCCCACCAAGGCGAUGAGCAGUAGCCGGUCUGUGAGGAGGGACAGCCCCAUUGGGACUGCGACACGGCCCAGACUCCUACGGGGGGCAGCAGUGGGGGAUCUUCCGCAAUGGACGAAAGUCUGUCGGAGCAACGCCGCGUGAGUGAUGACGGCCUUCGGGUUGUAAAACUCUGUUAAUCGGGACGCGGUACCGGAAUAGAAAGCCACGGCUAACUACGUGCCAGCCGCCGCGGUAAUUC
rnacentral:rRNA from 1 species